rnacentral:rRNA from 1 species
UACGGAGGAUGCAAGCGUUAUCCGGAAUUAUUGGGCGUAAAGCGUCCGUAGGUGGAAGUUCAAGUCAGCUGUUAAAGCGUGAGGCUUAACCUCAUAAGGGCAGUGGAAACUCUUCGUCUAGAGUGCGACAGGGGCAAGGGGAAUUCCUAGUGUAGCGGUGAAAUGCGUAGAGAUUAGGAAGAACACCGGUGGCGAAAGCGCCUUGCUGGGUCUGCACUGACACUGAGGGACGAAAGCUAGGGGAGCGAAAGGG